AUUGAUCGAUACAUUUUGGUCAACAAUUUUUCAUUAACAAUUCAAACCCAAUUUGAAUCAAUUAAUAAUUUCCCGAAACAUUUUCCCGAAGUUGUUAGCAGUGUUUUCAACGGUAAGAACCAGAGGUCACUCAAAACUAUAUUCAAAGUUACUAUGCAAUUGAUCCAUACAUUUGGACAACAAUUUUUCAACAAAUAUUUUUCACAUCAAUUCUACAAUGAAACCAAAAUAAGGGU